rnacentral:rRNA from 1 species
ACUGAACGCUGGCGGCAGGCCUAACCCAUGCAAGUCGAGCGGUAGAGAGGAGCUUGCUUCUCUUGAGAGCGGAGGACGGGUGAGUAACGCCUAGGAAUCUGCAUAGUGGUGGGGGAUAACGUUCGGACACGGACGCUAAUACUGCAUACGUCCUACGGGAGAACGCGGGGGACCUUCGGGCCUCGCGCCAUUAGUCGAGCCUAGGUCGGAUUAGCUAGUUGGUGAGGUAACGGCUCACCAAGGCGACGAUCCGUAACUGGUCUGAGAGGAUGAUCAGUCACACUGGAACUGAGACACGGUGCAGACUCCUACGGGAGGCAGCAGUGGGGAAUAUUGGACAAUGGGCGAAAGCCUGAUCCAGCCAUUCCGCGUUUGUGAAGAAGGUCUUCGGAUUGUAAAGCACUUUGAGUUGGGAGGAAGGGUAGUAACCUAAUACGUUGCUACUUUGACGUUACCGACAGAAUAAGCACCGGCUAACUUCGUGCCAGCCGCCGCGGUAACAC